rnacentral:lncRNA from 1 species
CUGAGCAACUGUAACAAUCCCUCUACAGUUUUCACACGCUGCUGCAGGGCUGUGGAAAAGGGGCUGGCAGGCAGAGGCGAGGCAGUGAAGGGAAAAGGCCACAUUUCCUUCUGUGACCAUGAAGGUGAGAGCAAAGAGUGAGGCGAACAAAGACCUAGAGUUAGCCUUUGCCCUCAGCUAGAAGCAAGAACUGGUGCGGCUCCAGAGUUUUCAACCCGGCUCCCGGCUCCCCUUUCCCUAGAGGAAGUGCCACCUGAAAUGUGAACUCCAGGAUGAACCAAUAAAGGCAAAGCUCUUGAUUCUCAUGCAAAUUUAGCAAGGGGAGCACAUUAUUGCUCACACACUCCAUGAAUAGAAACAGUGCCCCCAGAUCAGGUGCCAUUCUGAGCCAAACUCUUAAAAUAUGGUGGCUGCAGGUGCUUCCAGGCUGUUGCCACUUACAGCUGGGACUCAAUCAUGUUCUGGCAAUCUCAGGCUGCACAAUCGAUUUGGGCACUCUAGCACAACAAACCCGCUUUCUGCAAAGAUUGGGCAAGGACAAGGAAAGUGUGGGGGGUGUGCUUGCUUAAAGCCAUCUAGAGCCUCCCCACAGGCCAAUUAGAAUGAAUCCUUGAUAAAUAGCUGAGGUCAUCUAACCUCCAUGCAAUCUUUGUGCAAACACAUUGGGAUGAAUGCACAAUAAGCCGCUCAUCUGGAAGGGACCUUUCACUAUUUGAGCCAGCAAGUUUGUCUGCAAUCCAGAUCCCCGUUUCAGCACUCUGCUUGCAGGUAAACCCUAGCCAUGAGCAGAGACGAGCAUGUUGAGCUCACACAUGGACAUACCAUGCUGCUAUCUCCAUGACCCUCCAGCUCAUGCAGGGUGACUGUGUGAAGCAGGAAGCCGCUGUAAGUCGAGGAGGCUACUUGCUUUAAACAAUGGCGUUUAAGAGAAAAGGCUGAGCUUACCGUGCUCAUCCAUUCUGCGCUCACCUGUGAGGUUUGCACACAAGUGCAGCAUGCCCCAAUAGCAGGGGUCAGCAAUCUAAGGCCCACGGAGGUCGUUUGACCGGCCCACAAGCCGCCCCCGAACCAAGCUGCAUGCUUGUGCGCUGUGCUAAACCGGCGCAGUGUGGCACAGGGACUCGCUUCCUCAGUGCUGAAAAUCGCAUCUGCACAUGCAGAUGCCAAAAAUCGCUGAAAACCGCAGGCAAUCCAGCCCACAGAAAGAUCUCUGUGGGACGGAUCUGGCCCAGGCAAGAUAAAUGUUCCCGACCCCUGCCCAAUAUGGCUCUUGAAGACCCCUUGUUUUUCAUGGAAGAUAUAGUUUUGCCCUUAUAAGUUUGCACUAUGUCCAUAGUUGGUAAAUAGUAUUCAGUGGUAAAGGUAAAGGUAAAGGGACCCCUGACCAUUAGGUCCAGUCGUAGCCAACUCUGGGGCUGCAGCGCUCAUCUCGCUUUAUUGGCCAAGGGAGCCGGCGUACAGCUUCUGGGUCAUGUGGCCAGCAUGACUAAGCCGCUUCUGGCGAACCAGAGCAGUGCACGGAAACGCCGUUUACCUUCCCGCCGGAGUGGUACCUAUUUAUCUACUUGCACUUUGACAUGCUUUUGAACUGCUAGGUUGGCAGGAGCAGGGACUGAGCAACGGGAGCUCACCCCGUCGCAGAGAUUCAAACUGCCGACCUUCUGAUCGGCAAGUCCUAGGCUCUGUGGUUUAGACCGCAGCGCCACCCUUGCCCAUAUUCAGUAGUAGUAGCUGGUGUCUAUUAAGCUUGGUGGUGUGGAAUACAGGGAACCCGGACAGUAGGUGGAGCCUGGCCCAGUGACAGGGAGAGUCAAUUGAUUCUAAUUCCCACCCAUCCACUUCUCUGUUGAGUUCUACAAGGAUAACAGUGUGGCCAAGGAAGAGGAAGACUGACAGGCAGGAAAAUUGACACAUUGAGGUCAAUGGGGCAGUUCUCCAUUUACCCUAAUGGACCAAGCUCCAUGGAUAGUACCACAAAAUGUCAAGGAGAAAUAUUCACACAGCCAGUGCAUAUCAUGGUUAACCAAGGUAAUUUGCUAUAUCGAAGGGGAAUAUCGGAUUUUAAACACUAUAUAUUAGGAUAGUUUACCAUUUGGCUUCAAAUAACAUUUUCUGAGUGAACAUAUUAGGUCCGAGAACCAGAAUCCCUUCUUUUAGAAAGUAAGCACUGUUCAUACCUCCACUAAGAGUAUUCUGAGAACACAGUCCAAUUUCUUUACAACAUUCUAAAUCUUAAGAUUUAAUGCCACUAUUUUAUAUCUGGCAGUAUCCAUUAAUACUCACCAGUUUACUGGACCAGCAUGACUACUAUCACAUUUAUUGCAUCCUGUAGUGAAGGAUCCCCCCCCCAGCCCAAAAUCUUACCUCUUAUAAGUUGUUUGUGAUGGAAUAUAUGUUAUGCGUUCUCAAAUUCAAGCCAUUCCUCAGUCGGGACAGGCAAUCAGUUCGCUUUGCAACAGAGCGGAUGCUUUGACAGCAGAUGUAAACUUCUUUGACAUCCCAGGGAAAAAAAGGUCUGCAAUUCCAAAAAGGCCAGACAAUUCAGACUCCCGUACACUUCAAUGAACUAGAAAGAGCUGAGCAAUCCAGCAUUUAGAACUGAACUUGUAAACUGUAACUUCAUUUGGCAAACGCUCAGUAUGCCACAGAAGUAUUGUGCUUAAAUCUCAACGGACAGGCUUCCAGUCUGCUCUUGAUUACCAUCUGCUGGUUACUGAACAGAGCAGUGUUUGCAAAUGUAGCUCUGAAAAGAACUCCAUUAUAGUAUCCCAUCAGAAAAACAACAGUGACGGAUUUUUCAGCAGUGUGGUCGGCUCACAGUAACAGUGGACUCAAUAUGGGAUUUGGAAGUCUGAUUUCCAGCUUACAAUGAUUGCUACAGGGUCCUCACUACUAAAUAAAAUAAUUCCUCUCCCCCACACACACACAACACUGUGCAUAAUGAUCAGUCCCACUAUGGUGAAAGGACGCAUUGAAUGGAGUAUUGCACUCAGAUGUGCAAUUGCCUGGGUUCAGAUGUCUGCUCACGUAUAAUAGCAAAUCGCCACGUCCCAUCUCCAGUGCUGCAAAAUUGUAAAAUGGUAAUCCUAAAAGGCUAUUCUGAAGGUUGUAAAAUACCUGCUCUGCUAAAACUUUGUUUUUUUUAACAAUACACAUAAAAUGACAUUCUAACAAUAAAUUAAAGGAGAGUAUAGAAUAGGGGUGGGAUGCGGGUGGUGCUGUGGGUUAAACCACAGAGCCUAGGGCUUGCCUAUCAGAAGGCCGGCAGUUCGAAUCCCGACGGGGUGAGCUCUCGUUGCUCGGUCCCUGCUCCUGCCAACCUAGCAGUUCAAAAGCACAUCAAAGUGCAAGUAGAUAAAAAGGUACCGCUCCGGCGGGAAGGUGAACGGUGUUUCCGUGCACUGCUCUGGUUCGCCAGAAGCGGCUUAGUCACGCUGGCCACAUGACCUGGAAGCAGUACGCCGGCUCCCUCAGCCAAUAAAGCGAUAUGAGCGUCGCAACCCCAGAGUUGGCCACAACUGGACCUAAUGGUCAGGGGUCCCUUUACCUUUACCUAUAGACUAUGGGUGGGGAGAGGUGGGUUAAGGUAUUUUGGCUGCAUGGAUUUGGAAAGACAAAUAUAUUGGGACUGCUGGCCACAGCCCAUAAAUACCUGUACUCUUAAGCUGUUCCCAAAACAUACAUGCAUGCCCAGUGUUGAAGCUGGUUGGUUGAGGCACUAAAAGAGAGUGAAAGGGAGGGGGGAUGAAGUGGAGAGGAUCACUGCCAACACAACGGUAAUUCUCCAUUUGACAGAUCCUUUCAAUAAUCCUUCACACCCCUGAAUAGCUGGACUGAGCUGUGGAUUUGGGGAAGGGGAUUUUUGCUCAGUCUUAGACACAACCUUAUAAGAUGAGUUGUUUAGCACACACACUACAUAUUUAAAGCACAUUUCCCCCCAAAUAUCAUGGGAACUGUAGAUUGCUAAGGAUGUUGGGUAUUGUAACCCUGUGAUGGGUAAAUUACAGUUCCCGGGAUUCUUGGGGGGGUUGCUUGAAAUGCGUUCCUUAAUUCCAAACACCAUAAGACUUCAAAAGUCAGUGCAUCUUCGUAGAAGAAAACUGUUCAUCUGAAUCCAGCCAACCAGAUGAUCCUACCUCCUUUUUUUUUUUAAGUGACAAACUGACCACUAAGCAGCAUGAGGAACCUCAAGCCAGAUCUGCAAAACGUCUAUUAAAACAGGAGUUGCUUAAUCACAUUACUUCAAUUCCCAAGCAAACCAGUUUUAAACUGGGAAUGUGAUAGCUGAAGCACCAGCUAAUUCAAAAAGUAGAUAAAGGAAUCAUGCUCAUAUGCUGGGAUACAGAGCUGAAUAUUAUCUAACUAUAUUUCCAUUUUAAAAUCAAAUUUAUCCCAUUUUUUGUCUUUCUCCUCAAGGGUACAUCAAUCCAACUGUGUGUGUGUGUCCACCAGUCCUGCUUUCCACUUAGACCAAUUCUUAAGCUCCUGGGGAUGUCUUUUCCACAGACAUAUUAUUAAUAUUUAUUAAUUGCUUUGCCAAUAGCCCAGUUUCUGUUUCUCCAACUUUCUCCAUUCACACUUCCCUGUCCCCAAAGUGCCAGAAUAGAUUACUGUCUUUUCUUUGGUUUUUCCUCCUUCAGAUCCAUGAUUCUGUUUCAUAAUCUGGUGCUGAUCUUGCUAACUUUUUCAGUGAUUACCUGACCCUAUUCACCUUCAACGCCAUGCUCAGUGUCCUUUUUUUAAAAAAACAACAACAUUUUUAAUCAAUUUUAAUGCAAAGCAAGCCAUAUUACCCAAAGAAAAAGAGAGUGAAAGAGAAAUCCAGUUAAGAAGCAUAGGGACAAAGAAUGGUACAAAUCACAUACAGUGGUACCUCGGGUUAAGUUCUUAAUUCGUUCCGGAAGUCCAUUCUUAAACUGAAACUGUUCCUAACCUGAAGCACCACUUUAGCUAAUGGGGCCUCCAGCUGCCGCCACACCACCAGAGCACGAUUUCUGUUCUUAUCCUGAAGCAAAGUUAUUAACCCGAGGUACUAUUUCUGGGUUAGCGGAGUCUGUAACCUAAAGCGUAUGUAACCUGAAGCGUAUGUAACCUGAGGUACCACUGUAUUGCAUUCAAAAAUGAAAGGUAACUCUAGAGUUCCAGAUCUCACGGGAAGGCAGUAUGGGUUGUUAUUGUUAAGUGAAGUUUAUUUGUGUACAAGAUAAAAUUCUGCCAGAUGGCAUAAAGAUUUUCCAGUGUAACCGCGCCUUGCAAUGUACAAAGAUGGAGUGUAAGUUUUUGUAACUCCUUGCUGCUUUCAAGCUUCAGCCACAUCUACCUCCUGUAGGAAAUGGAUUAUAUCUGUAGAUUAAAAUGUAAACCUCCUUUCUUAGGUGUGUGGCAGACAUACAAAAAGUAAGUGGGUUUUGAAGUCUGUUAGCAGAGUAAAACACUUGUAGCUUUGCACCUUACUAAAACUUGGAAUUAGGCAAUCACACCCUUUUAUGCCCUUUGAUUUGUGGUCUGCUGACCUCCCCCUCUUCAUCACCAUUUUGGCAUGAUAAACAAAAAAAGGUUUACUUACAUUUCAAUUCAGGCAGCAAAUAUAAAAAGUAGUAUGCAGAAAAAUAAUUCUAAGUUGCAGUAAAAUAAAUGUUGGUAGUCUCAGAAACACUGGCUGAAGCCAGGAGCAUCAGCAAAACAUGUCUGCUUAGCUUGGAAGCAUGGUGGAAAGAGAGACAGAAGGAAGGAUAAAGGAUUAUCUUGUCUGUUACAGAAUUCUCACCCAGAGGAGGCAGGAGAUGUAGGCCACACAAAGGAUCCUCUCUAGGAAGUUUAAGAACUCUCUGUGUACAAUGGAUAAUUUAUGUUAAGUUAAAGAAUAUACAAAUAUGCAGUCAACAAAGGAAACGAAGGACCCAUACUGAGGACGACGGAAGUCUCAACAUAUGGAAGAAUUUUAUUUUAUAUGUAACAUUUUCUUUCUAUUUGAUGGGAUCUGUUUUUGUUGUUCUUUUUGUGGUGAAGGGAC